rnacentral:tRNA from 1 species
AGGAUAAUAGUUUAAAAAAAACAUUUAAAUUGCAAUUAAAAAUUAUUUUAUUGAUUUAUCUU